AAAAAUCUUUAUAAUUUUAAAAGUUAACAUCGACAAAUAUUUAAAUAUUUAUCAUAUGGAGGUAUAGUAUUACAACAUUAAAUUAUAUUUAUUUAAUUUAUACUAUCUAUAAAUCCAAUGGAUCAUCUAUUGUUUAAAUCCAAUUAUUAAUAGUCUAAUAAAUUUUUUUGGUAAGUCCAAAAUUUAAAUGAUAAGAUUAGAGAUUAAAUGUAACAUGAUUUCCUAAAAAUAUGUCUAUUAGAUACAUUUUUAAAAAAAUCACACGAAUCAAGAUUGUAACUUCUGUUUUAAUACAUAAGAAGUGGUAAAAAGAGGCAUAUACUUUCUGCAAGCUGCCAUUACUUAAAUGUUGAUGCCCACAAAUGUAUCUGAGUUUCGAUAUAACUCAUGCAAUGAAGUGUAAGUAAAUAAGUUUACAUCUAAAAACAAAUAUAAAAAGUUGCCGACCUAUACAACUUGGUUGUCGUGGGAUUAAUUUUUUUGUGUGAGAUCAUGUGACAUGUCUUCCAAACUAAGGUUAUGCUUUUUUAUGUAUAUUUUAAAUUUUCAAGUUGAUGAAUGAAUACUCAUGGGUGACGAUGACCUCAUCAAAACAUAAACAACAAUUGUUCCAACAAUUGUUCCAACAAAUGUUUAAUGAUAUUAGUAUUUGGAAUAGUGGAAUAAAAUUCAGAAAAAAACUCAGUGCUAAAGCCUCCCCAUUUUUAAUACAUUAUUUCAGUUAAAUUGAGUAGUGUAAACUGAAGAUAAUUAUUUUGCUCAAUUAUUUGGUCAUUGUCAUAGGCAUUGCCAUUCGUCUUUUCAAAAUUUUGUUUGUGUUUAUGAAGACUGCAUUUUUAAGUUGAACAAUACCUUUUAUAGAUUGAAUUAAGAUUAUCUCAUAAAUCUUAUAUAUGACUUAAUCUACUACAUAAUUGGUUAUGUAUGUUAUGAAAAUGUGUGCAUGUAACUUUUGCUGCACAAAUAUUUUUGCUUUUGCUUAUUCAACUUUGAAAUAUUUUCUCAUAUUAAUAUGUUAGUUUUGGUUUUCAUGACCUAGCUUGAUCGUUCAAUUUUACUGAUGAAUGAUGAUGACUUAGAUUGUCUGGCCUUAUCACAUUAGAAGAAAAGGAGCAAUUAGGACUAAAAUUGUAAUUAUACAAAAACAGUUUGAUUCCUUCGAGCUUGGCAGCACAUGUUCCUUCAUAUUUGGAAAAGGCAUUGACAUUAUUAAAAAACAUGUAUACGAUGACCCACCAACAAAUUUAAUAUACCAAAAUAUCAAAAAAAAAAAAAAUUUAAUGUUUAACAGGGAUGCCUUUCGAUGUAAAAAGAAUGUUUAACUGGAUGAUUAAUCCGAAAUAUACGCCACCAUCAAAGAAAAAUUACAGUUUUACGUGUCUAAUAUAAUUAUCUUUAGCUUUUAUAAAAAUAUCCCAUUAAAAUUAAAAAAAAAUAAAGUCGAGAGAAAAGUGAAUCAUCUCUAUUUUUUAAAAAAAAUUAAUUUUAUCAUAAAUUUAAUAUUUUACUGAUACCAAUUUUUCAAAAAGUUUUGCAUGCAGAUACAGACAUAAUAAUUUUAUAAACAGUUAUAAAGAGAUGUACUAUCAGUUAAGAUCAUUACGAUAAUUUAGUACUCAUGCAAAUAUGAUAAAUCUGAACAUCAAACUUCUUAUAUAUGGCUAUAGAAAUAUUUUUAGCAUAAAAUAAAUGUAAAAAAAAUUCAUGCAUUUAGAUAUUUAAUAAUACAUAAAAUAUCAAACUCUUUAUAUAUAAUAAAAAGGUUUUAUCAUGGCAAAAAUACUUUUAUGGCGUAAAAUAAUUUUCAAAAUACUCAUGUACAUACAAAAAGAUAACAUCUAUCACGCUUGCAUGUAUGUGUAAUGCGAAUCAAAACCCAAACUAAAAAGUAUAUUUUUCAAAUCUAUACUACAAUUGAGGCAAGUAUAAAUUUAACCAAAAGCGAGCAUAAGUUUUACCAAUUAUUAUUUCUAAAAGAAUAUAUAAUAUAUUUUUAUGUAUUAUAUGUGCUUUAGUUUUUGUGUAACUAAUUAUGUUUAGUAAGACAAUAAUAUGCAAGUAAUAUAUUUUGUACCAAAAUGGUGAUUAACAUUGAUGAAUAAGUUAUGUUAUGCAGAAAUCUAUUUUAAUAAAUAUAUAUAUAUAUAUAUAUAUAUUUCUCUUUUUUGUUUUAAAUUUUAAAAGUAUUAUGCUGGAAACAAUUUUUUGGAUAUAAUAUUUUUAGAUAAUGAUAAUCAUCAAAAAUGAAUAUUUUCUUUAAUUUUUUAAAUUAUUAUUAAUCGUAUAAUAAUAAAUUGAAGCCCUCAUUAAGGGUUUGAACGACUUUAACCGCUCUAACUUUUAACAUGAGUGCUUAAUUUCGAAAAAACACUUCGCAAAUGAUAGUAUGGAUUCAUGAUAAAAAAAAUUAAAUUAACUCUUUUAAAUAAUUCAUAAAUUUUAAGAGUAAUUUAUAAAUAUUUACAGAAGUUUAUAAAUUCAACCUCACACCAUAAAUAUUAAACCCUGAAUAAUUAUUAAACUAUAAACACAAAUGUUAGAGUAUUUUUGAUUGAUUGUAUUUUGAAAAGUGGUAGAUAAUUUAAAGUGUUAUAAGUACCUUUUUGAAAAUAUAAAUUUAAAACACCACUAAAUCACUUGUUUUAAAAAUAAAUUGUUAAUAACAUCAAAAUUUAGUUACCUAUUUCAAUUUUUUUAAAUACUAAUAUAAUAGUAUUAGAAACUUAAUUAAAAACACUUGUAAUGAUGCUCUAAAGUUCUAAGGACAACCCAACGGGUAUAUAAAAGGCCUUAUUUGUGUAAUAGCCAUAUUUUAAAGAUGAAUUAGGUGAAUAACAAUGAUUUUGACAUAAAUCAAUGUCGGUAUUUAGGUAAUAAAUCAUCCGGUUUUAUCUCUUUAUGCAACAUGUUUUCAGUUGUAAGUAAGAGAAUAUGUGAUGUUGUUUUUUUGUGGCGCAGAUCAAGCCAAAACUAUUAUAUAUGAACGAAGAUAAAGUUGUCACAUCACUAUGUUAUUAUCAGAAAAAGUUUUUUUACUAUAGGCAGUGAAAUGAGUGAUGUAAAAUAUGAACAUGUUUGAAAUAAAUGGUUUAUUCAAUUUACCAACCCUGUAAAUCCAUCUGCAAAGAACAAACUUUGAAGAAAUUGAAAGGAUAAAAAGCUUAAAUGUUCUAUUCCAUAUCAAAUAAAAGUAUAAGACACCAUCACUAUCUCUAAUUUUGUACGAAACAAGUGUGUUUCUUCACUAGUUUUUAUUUUUUUGAUACUUUUUAUGUAAUUAAAGUUAUAUGAAUUAAUAGAUAUUUAUGAAAAAUUCUCCUAAUUUGACUCUGCCUUCUCCAGGCAACUAUGCAGUAAUUUCUGGAUUCGCCCUAGUAAUAUAACUCUAGCCAUACCUAUGAACACCUAACUUUUAAGAACAUUGGCUUGAAAAUCACCUGUAUAAACUGAUAUGAAUGAAUGAAUGAAUGUAUUAUCCAGUCAAGAGGAGAUCAUCAUAGAAAUGUGUGUAUCAUACCUUAUUCAAAUAGUUAACCAAAUAUGUUUUAUUUCUAUAUUUGAAUUAAUCAACUAUUUAAUAAUUAUUAUCUAUAUUUAUUUUGUUUAAUAUGUUCAACAUCAUAUUUGUUACAUGAUAUUUUAUAUUUUCAAUUCAUUUAUUACCGUAUUUUACCAUAUUUUUAUAGUUUUUUCUUUUUGUUUUGUUUUUUCCGUACUUUUCGUUAAUAUUGCAUUUUUUUACAUUUGUUAUAUUAGUUUAUCACUUAUAACUUUACAUCUACAUUGUAUAUAUUUAAAUUAACACACACAGAUAUAUAUACGAUGAUGAUGAAGAUGUUCACAAUGACCAACCAAUAUAAUGUUAUAUUAAGAUUUUUUACUAUUAUAGUUUUGUCUCUUCUCUUAAAUUAAUGUAUAUAAAAAGUUGAAUAUAUUUCUGUUGAUAUAUUAGUUAUAUUUUCAUAAAUAUUUUAUAAUAAAUUUUAAGAUGUUUGCCUUGAGCUCCUAAAAUGCUAGGUACGACAUCCAACAUGAAUGCACAUUUGAAAAAAAUCAAAAUAAAAUAGUAAACAAAGAGCUCAUGUUUGUUGAAAUUGUAAGAGCAUGGUGUUUGUUAGACCCAAUAUUGGUCAAUAAGUUGAAUGGGUCAGCAUCGGUCUGGGCCGUACAGUGUAGAACAAGUAAGAGGCCCGUUACGAGCUGUUCGAAGAGAGAUCGAAGGCCUAAAGAUCGCGGAAGGGUUGCGGGGAUCCUGGACUCAAUUUACUACAAAAGGAGAUCGACGCAUAUGAAGAGGGACACGUUGAAAACUCUAGAGAGAGCUACAUCCAUACAUCAAUCUUGUUUUCACCUAGCUUUAGAUCUUUUCCCUUAUCGAUCUCGUUUGUAACGUCGAUCUCAUUUCAUUCAUUGGAGCUCCACAUCAUCCAUCGUUGCUGAUGUCAGAAACAUGGAACAAGCCUUAUUCCCGAGAGUACGCUGCUUUCUCUGCCCCCAUGGCUCUGCUCCGCCAAGUUCUGGUCAACCACAUGUAUAUGAUUAGAUCAUCCAAGAUCAAAUGGGCCAUUUGUUAUUUUUUUAUGGUUUGAAAAUAUGAGUGUAAAAAAUUAAUGAAAUGUGGAACAUGCCGUGUGGACAAUGUAUAGUGUGCACUCUCCUCCCAGAUGAAGAACAAGUCGCCUAAGCAGCCCCGGGACCGGGACGGGGACCGGAAACUGGGACGGGAACGGGGACGGAAAACGUCAAACUUAAAAUUUGUAGAUACGGGUACGUCAUAGAAACGGCGACCAUAUUAUAAGAAAAUAUAAAAAUAUCCAUAAGUCUGAAACAUAAGUUUUAACAGAAACAAGAAGAAGGUAAAGAAAAUGCUUACGUGUUUUGUUGCUUGUGAUAUAAACAACAAAGAGACAAGAAGGGAAGGAAAGUGCUUAUGUGUUCUGUUGCUGAUAUAUCAGCAGAGAGAGAAAGGUCGGGACUUUAGUUUCAAAGAGAAAGAAGAAGAUGGAAGUGCAAGAGACUGAGAGUGGAAGAAUCGAAGAGACAUAGACUAUUACUUUUUUUUUUAAUUACAACUUUUGAUCUUUUCAAAAUUAAUAGAAUAAACACAUUAAACAUUUAAAACA